GAACUAUAGAGUUUGAUCCUGGCUCAGAUUGAACGCUGGCGGCAUGCCUUACACAUGCAAGUCGAACGGCAGCACGGGAGCAAUCCUGGUGGCGAGUGGCGAACGGGUGAGUAAUAUAUCGGAAC
rnacentral:rRNA from 1 species